rnacentral:rRNA from 1 species
AUUGAACGCUGGCGGCAUGCUUUACACAUGCAAGUCGAACGGUAACAGGGAGCUUGCUCCGCUGACGAGUGGCGAACGGGUGAGUAAUGCGUCGGAACGUGCCGAGUAGUGGGGGAUAACGCAGCGAAAGUUGUGCUAAUACCGCAUACGUACUGAGGUAGAAAGUGGGGGACCUUCGGGCCUCACGCUAUUCGAGCGGCCGACGUCUGAUUAGCUAGUAGGUGAGGUAAAGGCUCACCUAGGCGACGAUCAGUAGCGGGUCUGAGAGGAUGAUCGGCCACACUGGGACUGAGACACGGCCCAGACUCCUACGGGAGGCAGCAGUGGGGAAUUUUGGACAAUGGGCGAAAGCCUGAUCCAGCCAUGCCGCGUGUCUGAAGAAGGCCUUCGGGUUGUAAAGGACUUUUGUCGGGGAGGAAAUCCCCAGCGCUAAUACCGCUGGGGGAUGACAGUACCUGAAGAAUAAGCACCGGCUAACUACGUGCCAGCCGCCGCAGUAAUAC